UACGAAGGGGGCUAGCGUUGCUCGGAAUCACUGGGCGUAAAGCGCACGUAGGCGGAUUGCUAAGUCAGGGGCGAAAUCCUGGAGCUCAACUCCAGAACUGCCUUUGAUACUGGCGGUCUCGAGUCCGGGAGAGGUGAGUGGAACUGCGAGUGUAGAGGUGAAAUUCGUAGAUAUUCGCAAGAACACCAGUGGCGAAGGCGGCUCACUGGCCCGGUACUGACGCUGAGGUGCGAAAGCGUGGGGAGCAAACAGG
rnacentral:rRNA from 1 species